rnacentral:misc_RNA from 1 species
GAACUGCGAUAAGUAAUGUGAAUUGCAGAAUUCAGUGAAUCAUCGAGUCUUUGAACGCAUAUUGCGCCCCCUGGCAUUCCGGGGGGCAUGCCUGUCCGAGCGUCAUUGCUGCCCAUCAAGCCCGGCUUGUGUGUUGGGUCGUCGUCCCCCCCGGGGGACGGGCCCGAAAGGCAGCGGCGGCACCGUGUCCGGUCCUCGAGCGUAUGGGGCUUUGUCACCCGCUCGACUAGGGCCGGCCGGGCGCCAGCCGACGUCUCCAACCAUUUUUCUUCAGGUUGACCUCGGAUCAGGUAGGGAUACCCGCUGAACUUAAGC